rnacentral:rRNA from 1 species
UAAAUUUUAUUUAUUAAUUUUAUUUAUUUAAGUAUUAUAUUUAAUAAAAAUAAUUUUAAUUCAAUAUAGUUUUAGUAUUUUUUAAAGAAAUAAUAAUUUUAAUAAUAGUUUAUUUGUAUUGUAAAAGAAGAUUGAAAUAAUUUGAAAAAUUUUUAUUUUAAAAGAAAAUUUAAUUUAUUGUACCUUGUGUAUCAGGGUUUAUUAAUUAAUUAAUUAUUAUAGUAAUUUUUCUCGAAUUUUAAAGAUUUAAUUAUAUAUAAAAGUUAUUGUGGAAUAAUUAUUUUUAAUAUAUAAUUAGAAAUGAAAUGUUAAUCGUUUUAAAAUAUAUCUAGUUUUUUAAGAAAUAAAUUUAAUUUAGAUUUAUAAAUUAAAAGUAUUAUUUAUUUAAUAUUUUUAAUUUAUAAAAUUAAUAUUUUAAGGGAUUAGCUUUAAAAUAAAUUUUUAAAUUUUAAAAAAGUAUUUAAUAAAUGUAAGCUUAAAAAUAGUUAUCAUUAAUAAAUUUGUUAUAAUUUAUUUUAAAUUUUUUAUUAUUUAUUAUAAAAUUAAAUUAUUUAUUAAAAUAUAAAUUUUAAUAUUAAUGAUUUAUAAAUUAUGGUAAAAUUAGUAUAUUUAAUUUAUAUAAAUUAUUUAAAUUGAGAGGUUUAAAUAAGGAAUUCGGCAAAUUAUAUAUUCACCUGUUUAUCAAAAACAUGUCUUUUUGUAUUUAAUUUAAAGUCUAACCUGCCCACUGAUAGAUAUUAAAGGGCCGCAGUAUUUUGACUGUGCGAAGGUAGCAUAAUCAGUAGUCUUUUAAUUGAAGGCUUGUAUGAAUGGUUGAAUGAGAUAUAUACUGUCUUUUUUAAAUUUUUAUAGAAUUUUAUUUUUUAAUUAAAAAGUUAAAAUAUAAUUAAAAGACGAGAAGACCCUAUAGAUCUUUAUUUUUUUUUAAUUAUAAGUUAAAAAGAAUAAUUAAAUUUAUAGUUUUAUAAAAAAUUUUACUGGGGUGGUAUUAAAAUUUAAUUAACUUUUAUUAUUUGUUUACAUUAAUAUAUGUAUAUUUGAUCCAAUUUUAUUGAUUAAAAAAUUAAGUUACCUUAGGGAUAACAGCGUAAUUUUUUUUUAGAGUUCUUAUCGACAAAAAAGAUUGCGACCUCGAUGUUGGAUUAAGAAUUAUUUUUAGGUGUAGAAGUUUAAAGUUUAGGUCUGUUCGACCUUUGAAUUCUUACAUGAUCUGAGUUCAAACCGGCGUAAGCCAGGUUGGUUUCUAUCUUUAAUAAAUUAUUAUAUUAUAGUACGAAAGGACCUAAUAUAAAAAAUAUAAAUUUUAAAUUUAUGAAUUAUAUUAAUAUUUAAUAA